rnacentral:snoRNA from 1 species
CCAUUAGCAUACCCUACCUGUUCCUUCUUUUGGAGGGCAAAUAGAAUAUGGUGAUUGGAGUGUCUCAUGACAUUGAUUAUUGUGCUGCAUAAUCAGGACUUGCCACACCCUGAUUACUCCUAUCUGAC